AAAUAUAAGUAGGAGGAUGAUAGUAGGGACAUUCGAUGUAUGGUGAGAGGCAACGUAAUCUAGUGUACUAGCGCGGAUACACGAAAAAGAAAACGCCAAUAAAAUGCAUAGCGAAUUCAUGAUUCCACGUUUAACACAUUGCAUGCAUUUCAACUAGCUUAAGUUAUUUUGAUCUUCAUAUACUAGGGAGAAAUAAGUUUUGUAUUUUCGAGUAGUCUUUGUUCAUAAAUCCUCGCUAUUAUCACAAUUAUUCGACUUUCAUACAUGUAAAUAUCUUUUCGCUUGACCUCGAGAAAACAAAUUUGUUUGUUAUUUUUUGCAACAUUUGACAUUAUUUUAUGAUAUGUCAAUAGUAGUUUUAAUUGCUCGAACGUACAUUUGUACUUUUUGUCACACCUGCUUAAGUUGUACAUCGCGGUAAUUUCUUAUUAUUAAAGGCCAUUAACCUGAUUGUCUCUUUAGAUCUCUCUUGAAUUGUUUGUUUUACUGUAUCUUUCCGAAACAGUACAUAAGGUUGUAACUUUUCCACACUAAUUUCCUAAUCAUCGUUAUGCACAAAACAUUUAGCUGAACAAAGUUUGAUAGUUUUUGUAUGGCAGCUUGUGAUGCCUUUUUAUUUGUUCUACUUUUUCUUCAAGUUGGAGAUGAAAUCGUGUAAGUUAAUGAUUAGUUUAUUCUAGUUUUAUGCAUCGUAUUUCAUCAAUCAUCUGUCUGAUCAAUCGUUAACUUACUGUAGUUUUUAUAUUCUCAUCCCACCCCUUACCAAAACCUAAGAAUUAUAAUCAUUUACAAAAAUAUGCUGGUAAAUUAUAUUCGAUAUUGUUUCAAAUUGAUUGAUGGAAUGAGUGUAACCAAUUUUACUUCGGGCUUAUUUUAAAGUGUUAGUGAUUAUAUUUAUAUUUAUUCUAUUUUGGAUUAUUGUUUUUUUCAUUGGCUUGAUUGAAAAAUAAACAAUUUUAUUCAAUAUUCUUUACCGUCAAUCGUUAUUUAGUAUCGCUUUCCUACUGCCUUUCUGCUUCUUGACAUUAUGCGAUACCAACAUAAACUUUACAAACAAUUGCACCUCUUGUCACUUUUGUUUUAGAAAUGUGUAGCUUGAACGAUGCCUGCCCGGUUACACAGCAUAGAUUACAUUGUAUUUUACAACGGAUUUACGUAUUCUAGCACAAGUUAAAUAAUGUUUUGCAAGGUUGAUUACAACACUUAAGACGUAUUGUAGUACGCCUUGCGUUUUGUUCUAUGUUUAUUUUUCUCUGUUUGACUUUUUAAAUAAACAAUUUCAUAUAAAUCUGGCUAUUUGCGAGGCGCCGCAAAGAGUGAACGGGAAAACGCUGUAU